AUUGAACGCUAGCGGGAUGCUUUACACAUGCAAGUCGAACGAGUGGCGGGCGGGUGGGUAAUAUAUCGGAACGUGCCCAGUAGCGGGGGAUAACUACUCGAAAAGUGGCUAAUAACGCAUACUAUUGGCGCGGCCGAUAUCGGAUUGGCUAGUUGGUGGGGUAACGGCUCACCAAGGAAACGAUCCGUGGCUGGUUGGAGAGGCCGACCACCCCCACGGGGGCUGCGACACGCCCCAGACUCCUACGGGAGGCAGCAGUGGGGAAUUUUGGACAAUGGUGGAAACCCUGGUCCAGCCAUCCCGCGUGUAUUAUGAAGGCGUUCGGUGUGUAAAGUACUUUUGGCAGAGAAGCGGUAUCUGCAGAAUAAGCACCGGCUAACUACGUGCCAGCAGCCGCGGUAAUUC
rnacentral:rRNA from 1 species